rnacentral:misc_RNA from 1 species
AACCCUAAACUUUCCAGGCACUGGCCCUCUCUCUCCAUUAAAGCAGAUUCUCGCCGCUCGCCGGUUCAUCUUUCGUCUUCCUUUCUUAUGCAUUUUGUUGAGGGAUCUGAGGCUGUGUUUUCUGUUUUUGAUUUUCAUAUUUUUUUUCUGUGUUUUGCCCGAUGAUGUACAUCACAAACUUGUUGAACGGUUGCAAAUGUUUGCUUUAGUUCACGCUAGCCUUCACUCACUAUCACUUUCGCCACCUCUACCACCACCACUACCUCCUCCUCCUCCUCAUUCUCUUCUUUAUUCAUACAUACAUAUAUAUAUAUAUAUACACA